AAGUCGUAACAAGGUUUCCGUAGGUGAACCUGCGGAAGGAUCAUUACCGAUUUUAGCGAGCUUGACCUUUGGUUAUGGUAUCGCGAAAACAUUGUAUUUAAAACCCCACUCAUAAAAAAAAAAAUUUUUUAAUAUAUAAAUAAAUAAAGAUCACUUUCAACAACGGAUCUCUUGGCUCUC
rnacentral:misc_RNA from 1 species